UUCUCAUUAGCUCCGACUUUCCGAGCUGUAUCUGUACCGAUCACCGAUAGUAUUGAUCUUCUAGUCAUAUAUGUCUCGUCUAAUCUGAACUUCGGAUAAUCAUAAGAUCCAAGAAAAAACUUCUGGUAAGAAAAUUGGUAGCCUCAACAACGUCAGGCAAUACUUUACACCGCAACAGAUUCUUACUCUGUACCAUGCACAAGUUCGAUCGUGCAUGGAGUACUGCAGUCAUUUAUGAGAUGGCUCUGCCAAGUACCAGCUUGCUACUUUGGAUUCUGUGGAUCGACGCGCCGUAAGACUCAUCGGUGUCGAACCACUGGUUGACUCCAGACUUCAAGUCUAGAACAUCGGCGCAGGGUUGCCUGUCUGUCGAUAUUUUACAUGAUAUAUUUCGGAGAAUGUGCUCAAGAACUACAAGAAAGUCACUAACUUAAACUGGAGACGACAUGAACAACUUUUUGUUUCCUCUUUUUUUAUCAGAGUUUAUUAUGUAUGUGUAUAUAAAUAUGUAAUAUAAAUGACAAAAAAA